GGAUGUGAGGGCAAUCUGGCCGUGACACCUGUCACCCAUUGAUCACUGGGCUUGAUUUGGCUGAUGUGACUGGCGAGGCUGGUGGCCCCUUCCCCCGUCACCACUCCACCUGCAUCCCUCCCGAAAUGGCACACUCCCGCUCGGUGGAAGAGGACGACCUUCCCCAGGUCAUCCCCAGAGGAGAAGCGUUCUUGGGUCAAUGGUAUAGAGUAGCUGUGCUCCCUGCUAGAACCACCUAACCAGCUCUCAAGAUCCAUUUGUAGGAGAACAUAGGAUAGUCAAGCUUCCAAGACUCCAGACACAUCCAAAUGAAGCUCUGCACGUGGCAGUCUGCCUUUCUUU
ensembl:misc_RNA 7SK 7SK RNA